AGUGAACGCUGGCGGUAGGCCUAACACAUGCCAGUCGAACGGCAGCACAGUAAGAGCUUGCUCUUACGGGUGGCGAGUGGCGGACGGGUGAGGAAUACAUCGGAAUCUACUUUUUCGUGGGGGAUAACGUAGGGAAACUUACGCUAAUACCGCAUACGACCUACGGGUGAAAGCAGGGGAUCUUCGGACCUUGCGCGAUUGAAUGAGCCGAUGUCGGAUUAGCUAGUUGGCGGGGUAAAGGCCCACCAAGGCGACGAUCCGUAGCUGAUCUGAGAGGAUGAUCAGCCACACUGGAACUGAGACACGGUCCAGACUCCUACGGGAGGCAGCAGUGGGGAAUAUUGGACAAUGGGCGCAAGCCUGAUCCAGCCAUACCGCGUGGGUGAAGAAGGCCUUCGGGUUGUAAAGCCCUUUUGUUGGGAAAGAAAAGCAGCAGGUUAAUACCCCGCUGUUCUGACGGUACCUAAAGAAUAAGCACCGGCUAACUUCGUG
rnacentral:rRNA from 1 species